rnacentral:rRNA from 1 species
UACAGAGGGGGCAAGCGUUAUUCGGAAUUAUUGGGCGUAAAGGGCGCGUAGGCGGCAUGGCAAGUGGAUGGUGAAAUCCCUCGGCUUAACCGAGGAACUGCCGUCCAAACUGCUUCGCUUGAGACCGGGAGAGGUGAGUGGAAUUCCCAGUGUAGCGGUGAAAUGCGUAGAUAUUGGGAGGAACACCAGUGGCGAAGGCGGCUCACUGGCCCGGUACUGACGCUGAGGCGCGAAAGCGUGGGGAGCAAACAGG